AAAUUUACGAAAUUCAAUGUCUAAAUAUUUCAAAUGCCCGAUCUAAGUUAUAAUUAGCGAUAAGCAUUGUCAAUUCAGAAGCUCUAUAAUCGAAAUUGAGUCUUCAUACUCAUAAGAGUACAAUAACAUUUAUUACUCUCUCUCUCCCCCCUUCUCUCUCUAUAUAGAAAGAUAGAGAGAGAGUCCAUCUACUAUGCUAUAGUAAGCACCGAGGUUUUUAUACUAUCAAAUUAUUUUUUAUAAUGGGACAUUCUAAUCGACGAUCGGCCCUAUCAAACAUAAUUUAAACUAUUCGAAAUAUUUAGAUACCAAAUUUUAUAUUUUUUAAUAUUAUUUAAUUAGUAAUUAAAAAUAUUUCAAAAUUGGUAAUUUUAGAUUUGAUGCAUUUGAAGGUGGUAGAAAUAAAUAGAGU
rnacentral:lncRNA from 1 species